UGAACUUCAGACAGAGGGGACUAGGGUUCAGGAAAAAAUAUUACUACAGGACCUACUGGGUGCCAGGCACUUUACUAAAUACUUUCACAUUGACAAGUUCGGUCACACUAUGGACAGCUCAAAACCCAGGUUCUUGAAGUCAAGGUCUAGAGUCAUUUUCACCUCAUAGGUCAUCCAAAUAGCUCAACUUCAUCCAUGUAUGUAGCUGUGGGAGACAUGCACACACACACACAAUCUUUGCUUUGUAUUUUUCCUUUUUAUUAUUUACAUAAUAUAGGAUAGAAAAGCACAAGUAGAAAAAGGAAAUGGCAUUAUACUAUAUACAUUAGGUUUUGUUUUUAUUUUUUGAGACGGAUUCUCGCUCUGUCGCCAGGCUGGAAUGCAGUGUUGUGAUUUCGGCUCACUGCAACCUCCACCUCCUAGAUUCAAGUAAUUCUCCUGCCUCAGCCUUGCAAGUAGCUGGGACUACAGGCUCGCACCGCCACACCCAGCUAAUGUUUGUAUUUUUAGUAGACAGGGUUUCACCAUGUUGGCCACGAUGGUCCCCAACUCCUGUCCUUUUGUGAUUCGCCCGCCUCAGCCUCCCAAACUGCUGGGAUUACCGGAGUUUAUAUUAAUUCUAUCUCUCUUAAUUUUUACUCCCAUAGUACACAAGUUUCCCAUGACAAUACUUUUGAAAACCCUAUUAACAAUAAAGUUGGACGUAAAAUUAGGUCUAUAUGCAACUCUACUGUCUAAUCUUGAAACACGUCCUAAGAGACUUAAGGUACCAAAAUACUAACAAUGAUUACAAGUAGACUUGUAGAUUUUCCACAGCAUUAUUUUCUGAAAAAAGAAAUUUUAGGCCUUAUAUUAAGAGAUUCAAGAAAUUUGUUUCCAUUUUAAAAUUUUUUGGAUGGGUUAAUUGAUCAUGUGGCCACGUUAUCUCUAUAAAUGUUUAAAAUCAGUGUACUGUAUUUCCACAUUUAGUAACACUUUUCUUGAAAACCUUGCUUUGAGAUCAGCCCUAAAACUUGUUUUGCAAGUAUUCACUUCUGUGAUGCUCCUGCAAUAAUCCUUAUGUGCUCGCAGUCAAUGAGUUUUUACUCUCAUUAACUUGAUGAAUAAACGCAUAGACCCUCACGGAAACUGUUAACAGUUCUUAAACACAGUGCAGAGUUUCUUCUUUCUGGUAGCUUCCUGAUCUCGCCGGCUCAGAAAUCAACUGGCAGACCUUCCCGGAGACCGUUAGAGGUCUUAGGUCAGCAUCUCUUAAGUUAGCCGUUCCUGCCAGUGGGUUCAGUGGGUUUGUGGUCUGACUGCCUUCAGAAAUAAAGCUACAAGUCUCCACAGUGAGUAUUACCACUCAUUAAGACAAUUCAGACCCAAACACCAGCUAAUGCAAAAAAUAAAAGAACAAAACACCCACACAAGCAAAAGAAAGCCAAGCGGGUCUCCAUCGCCAGCUCUAGCAGCCUGCUUUUAUUCUCUCAUCUGGCCCCACCCACAACCUGCUGAUUGGUCCAUUUUACAGAGAGCCCAUUGGUCUGUUUUACGGAGAGCUGAUUGGUCUGAUUUGACAGGGUGCUGAUUGGUGUGUUUACAAACCUUGAGCUAGAUACAGAGUGCCGAUUGGUGUAUUUACAAUCCCUUAGCUAGACAUAAAGGUUCUCCAAGUCCCCACCAGACUCAGAAACCCAGUUGGCUUCUCCCAUUAAUUUCUGAACUGGGGCUGCAGUAUAGAGUUGCUUGCUAGUCCCACGUAAUGAGCCUGCAUUGCUCAGCUCUGGGGUGGUGAACGGCCCUGGGUGCCGUGAGGCAGUAAGCAGCGCUUCUCAGGGAGGCUUGGGCCGCGCAGGAGUCCCCAGUUGGGGGGAGGCUCAGGCAUGGCAGGCCUGAGCCUUGCGCUGCGUGGAGGCAACUACGGCCUGGCGAGAAGUGCUGUCCCAAGUGCUAAGCUCCUCACCGUCCUGGGCCGGUGGUGCAGGCCGCUCCGAGCGCGAGGCUUAUCUGAGCCUACUCCCACCCGGAACUCGCGCUGGCCCGCAAGCACCGCGCGCAGCCCCGGUUCCCGCCCGCGCCUCUCCCACCAUACUUCCCCACAAGCUGAGGGAGCCAGCUCCGGCCUUGGCCCGCCCAGGAAAGAGCUCCCAUAGUACAGCGGCAGGCUGAAGGGUUUCGCAACCACGGCCGGAGUGGACGCCAAGGCAGAGGAGGCGCUGAGAGCGAGCGAGGACUGAGAGGGCUGCCAGAAUGCUGUCACCUCUCACUGCUGAGGGACAAAUGAAAAAAAAAAGCUCACGGUCGGGCGCAGUGGCUCAUGCCUGUAAUCCCAGCACUUUGGGAGACCGAGGUGGGCGGAUCACCUGAGGUCGGGAGUUCGAGGAAGAAACCCCGUCUGUACUAAAAAUCCAAAAAAAUUACCUGGGUGUGGUGGCGGACGCCCGUAAUUCCAGCUACUCGAGAGGCUGAGACAGCAGAAUCACUGGAACCCGGGAGGCGGAGGUUGCCGUGAGCUGAGAUUGCGCCAUUGCACUCCAGCCUGGACAAGAGUGAAACU
rnacentral:lncRNA from 10 species